AGAGCGCAGGGCGAAUGCCUUGGCACUGGGAGCCGACGAAGGACGCGAUAAGCUGCGAUAAGCUGCGGGGAGGAGCAAAUAUCCAUUGAUCCGCAGAUUUCCGAAUGGAGAAAUCCGUAUGGAGAAGUCCAUACAUCAUAUACUGAAUCCAUAGGUAUAUGAGGGAAACCGCCUGAACUGAAACAUCUAAGUAGGGCGAGGAAAAGAAAUCAACCGAGAUACCGCAAGUAGUGGCGAGCGAACGCGGCAGAGGCCAAACCCGUAGUAGAAAUACUAUGGGGGUUGCGGACUGCAUUUAGCAUUGUUGAUCUUUAACCGAAGGGCAUGGGAAGGCCCACCGAAGAACGUGAGAGUCGUGUAGGUGAAAAGGAGAGACAGCGAGCAGGAUCCAGAGUACCGCGGGACACGAGGAAUCCCGUGGGAAGCCGGGGGGACCACCCUCCAAGCCUAAAUACUACCCAGUGACCGAUAGCGUAUAGUACUGUGAAGGAAAGGUGAAAAGGACCCCGGGAGGGGAGUGAAAUAGAACCUGAAACCCUGUGCUUACAAGCACCGAGAGCCCGUCAAUGGGUGAUCGGGUACUUUUUGUAGAACGGUCCGGCGAGUAUAUGGAACAAGCAAGGUUAAGGUCUUCAGGACCGAAGCCGAAGGGAAACCAAGUCUUAAUAGGGCGCACAGUUUGUUUCAUAUGACCCGAAACCGGGUGACCUAUCCAUGUCCAGGUUGAAGUGGCGGUAAAACGCCAUGGAGGACCGAACCAACCCCCGUUGAAAAGGUGGUGGAUGAGGUGUGGAUAGCGGAGAAAUUCCAAUCGAACUCGGAUAUAGCUGGUUCUCCCCGAAAUAGCUUUAGGGCUAGCGUUGUGUUAGAUUACCGGAGGUAAAGCACUGAAUAGGCUAGGGGGCGAGAGUCUACCGACCCUUAUCAAACUCUGAAUGCCGGAUAAUUGAUGCACAGCAGUCAGACAGUGUGAGAUAAGUUUCAUUGUCAAAAGGGAAACAGCCCAGACCCACAGCUAAGGUCCCAAAUGUAUGUUAAGUGGAAAAGGAUGUCCAGUUGCACAAACAACCAGGAUGUUGGCUUAGAAGCAGCCACACAUUCAAAGAGUGCGUAACAGCUCACUGGUCGAGUGACCGGGCGCCGAAAAUGUAACGGGGCUAAACAUACAACCGAAGCUUGGGCUGCACAGCAAUGUGCGGGGUAGGGGAGCGUUGUGUGCGGGGAGAAGCAUGAGCGGAAGCGCAUGUGGACUGCACAGAAGUGAGAAUGCCGGAAUGAGUAGCGCGAAUUAUGUGAGAAUCAUAAUGGCCGAAAGCCUAAGGUUUCUGGAGGAAGGUUCGUCCGCUCCAGGUUAGCCGGGAGCUAAGGUGAGGCCGAAAGGCGUAGCCGAUGCACAUACGGUGGAGAUUCCGUAGCCAUCAAAAGAUUUAAGCAGAGGGACACAGUAGAAGGGUACAUGCCGGGCGUUGGUAGCCCCGGUUGCAAGGGACCGAAAUUAGAGUAGGGAAGAUGGACUUGGAUACUGGCGAGAAAAGCUCUGUGGAUAUCUGCGAUGCCCGUACCGCAAACCGACACAGGUAGGUAGGAAGAGGAUUCUAAGGCCAACGGGAGAAGGGUUGUUAAGGAACUCGGCAAGUUGACCCCGUAACUUCGGGAGAAGGGGUGCUCUGGAAACAGAGCCGCAGAGAAUAGGUCCAGGCAACUGUUUAGCAAAAACACAGCUCUCUGCUAAAUCGAAAGAUGAUGUAUAGGGGGUGACGCCUGCCCGGUGCUGGAAGGUUAAGAGGAGGAGUGAGAGCCCCGAAUCGAAGCCCCAGUAAACGGCGGCCGUAACUAUAACGGUCCUAAGGUAGCGAAAUUCCUUGUCAGGUAAGUUCUGACCCGCACGAAAGGCGUAAUGAUCUGGACACUGUCUCAACAGCCCACCCGGCGAAAUUGUAGUACCGGUGAAGAUGCCGGUUACCCGCGACAAGACGGAAAGACCCCAUGGAGCUUUACUGCAGCCUAAUAUUGGAUUUCGGUAUUUCAUGUACAGGAUAGGUGGGAGACUGGGAAACACAGGCGUCAGCUUGUGCGGAGUCGCCCUUGGGAUACCACCCUUGAAGUGCUGGAAUUCUAACCUGUGGCCAUGAAUCUGGUCAGGGGACAUUGUUAGGCGGGCAGUUUGACUGGGGCGGUCGCCUCCAAAAGAGUAACGGAGGCGCUCA
rnacentral:rRNA from 1 species